AGCAGAGGGACGCCGGAAAGGUCCGGCGGUAAUGCACAAACCCGGUCCCGAGUCCGG
ncrna:unclassified sequences Type-P5 twister ribozyme ribozyme sequence